rnacentral:ncRNA from 1 species
UUUAAUAUUGUGGGAACAGGUUCCAAAGACGAUUUUUGUCCUUGGAUGAAAAGGGAAGCCCGGUGCAAAUCCGGCACGGUCCCGCCACUGUAAGAGGCGAGCAAUGCCGAUGCAGCCACUGGCCGAAAAGGCUGGGAAGGUCGGCAAAAAGCGAUGACCCUUAAGUCAGGAGACCUGCCUGUUCUGACAACACUGC